AUACGUAGGGUGCAAGCGUUAAUCGGAAUUACUGGGCGUAAAGCGUGCGCAGGCGGUUUUGUAAGACAGUGGUGAAAUCCCCGGGCUCAACCUGGGAACUGCCAUUGUGACUGCAAGGCUGGAGUGCGGCAGAGGGGGAUGGAAUUCCGCGUGUAGCAGUGAAAUGCGUAGAUAUGCGGAGGAACACCGAUGGCGAAGGCAAUCCCCUGGGCCUGCACUGACGCUCAUGCACGAAAGCGUGGGAGCAAACAGGAUUAGAUACCCUGGUAGUCCACGCCCUAAACGAUGUCAACUGGUUGUUGGGUCUUCAUUGACUCAGUAACGAAGCUAACGCGUGAAGUUGACCGCCUGGGGAGUACGGCCGCAAGGUUGAAACUCAAAUGAAUUGACGGGG
rnacentral:rRNA from 1 species